UACGAAGGGGGCUAGCGUUGUUCGGAAUCACUGGGCGUAAAGGGCGCGUAGGCGGCUUUGUAAGUCGGGGGUGAAAGCCUGUGGCUCAACCACAGAAUUGCCUUCGAUACUGCAUGGCUUGAGACCGGAAGAGGUAAGUGGAACUGCGAGUGUAGAGGUGAAAUUCGUAGAUAUUCGCAAGAACACCAGUGGCGAAGGCGGCUUACUGGUCCGGUUCUGACGCUGAGGCGCGAAAGCGUGGGGAGCAAACAAG
rnacentral:rRNA from 1 species